UUUUUUUUUUCGCAGCUUCUUGUUUAAAUUGUCAUAAAUUAAAAAAAUAAAUAAAUAUAAAUACAUUUAGGUUUCUCCAUUAAACAAAUAAAGUAUCUCUCGCUCCUCUUUAUAUAGCAGACUUCGUCUCUUUCGUCUUUCGUCUCCUUCUGUUUGUGAUCCAUAUCUUGACCUCACCUUGAAAGCCCUAAAGUAUCAUCUCUCUCUGUUGGUGAAUUAAUCUGAAUCAUAAUCAUGGAUGAAGAGUACGAUGUGAUAGUGUUGGGAACUGGUCUCAAAGAAUGCAUCCUCAGUGGUCUUCUUUCUGUUGAUGGGCUCAAGGUCGUCUUCUGUUCUUCCUUAUUCUUCUUUUUUACACUUCGCAGUUUCUAUUUCACUACUUUAGGUUUUCAUAGAAUCAACUUAUUGACUACAAGGUAGACUUUUUCUGACAGUAUUGUCAUUUUUUUCUAUAUAGCAUACGUUGGUUGGCUUUUGAAUCCAACUGGGUAUCUGUGAUUUCUUUGCUUUCUCAUAGAUCUGGAUGUUUGAGUCUGAAUAUUUUAGUUGUGGGUUUGUUUGCUUUGUUGACUUCCUAUCUGUGGUUGGGAGAUCUAUGCAUUAUUUGUAUUUAUUGCGUUGUUCCAAUUGAACUGGACUAAGAAGCUCUCUCCGUGACUUGAAGUUGAAUUGCUGUAGUUCUAAUGUCCUUGCAUUAAAAACAAGUGUAAUUUUUAGUUCUCCCUGCCUUUUAGUUUUAGAGGUAGUUGAAAGGUUAUGAGGGAAAUGUCAUGAGUUUUUAGAUUAGUUUUUGAAUGGUGAUUUGUUUAAUGGAUUGUGGAGUUAGGCUCUCUGCGGGCUUCUUUAGCAGUUUACAUGGACCUGCAAAUGGAUCUUUUCGCUUGUAAUGCAAUUCGUUGUGUAUUUUCAUUAUACUGCCCAUGAUAUCUGGACUUAAUCCUCUUUACAAUUGAUCAAUUUUAGUCAUCAUCCCUAUAAUUUGUCAGGGCUUUACCAUUUUGCAUAUCCUAUACUGGUUUACUAAAAUUGAGCAGUUCUUGAGUGCGGGAUUUCCAUGAAUUAACACCUUUGAGAUUGGAUUUCAUUUUGAAACGAUAGUGUGGCUUUCAUGAAGAGUAACUAGUAAGGUGCUGUGGAUAUCAAUAUGAGGAAGAGAUUAUUGGGUUUGGUCCUUUGAUUGUGAUCACAACUUGGUGUUUUGUUUAUAUUUGCGUUUAUGGUUACAGCUUUUGACUCUUGCAAAUUUCUGUAAUUGAUUACAAUAUUUCUGGACAGCCUGUGGUACUCAGCUGUUGCUUAUCAAUAUUUCUGUAAGAAUUUGAUCCCAUGUCUCUUUUAGCCAUUUACUAUAUUGGGCUACAUGUAUGAUGGACAGCCAAUCUCUUUUUUUUGUUGAACAAAUUCUGUUGUUAAUCUAAAGUAGAAGAAAUGUGUUAGAUGCUUUGGAUGUUGUUUUUGACACUUUUUCUUCUUCUAGUUGUUUUAGAAUAUAAAAGAUAGUUCUGAAGUAAAGGUUUUAACUUUUUUGUGAUUUAUAACAACAUUGUGUUUUAUUUGGAUCAUUUUGGCUUUUCUACUCACUUGUACAAGUACACAUUUUAUGCUCAUAUAAUUGCUGUUUUCCUUUAGUACUGCACUAAAAUGAUAGCAUGCUUGAUUGUGAGCCAGGUUCU
rnacentral:misc_RNA from 1 species